rnacentral:rRNA from 1 species
CACGUAGGGCGCAAGCGUUGUCCGGAUUUAUUGGGCGUAAAGAGCGUGUAGGCGGCCAGGUAGGUCUGCUGUGAAAACUCGAGGCUUAACCUCGAGCUGUCGGCGGAAACCAUCUGGCUAGAGUCCGGAAGAGGAGAAUGGAAUUCCCGGUGUAGAGGUGAAAUUCGUAGAUAUUCGCAAGAACACCAGUGGCGAAGGCGGCUCACUGGCCCGGUACUGACGCUGAGGCACGAAAGCGUGGGGAGCAAACAGG